rnacentral:rRNA from 1 species
GAUGAACGCUGGCGGUAUGCUUAACACAUGCAAGUCGAACGGUCUUUUCGGAGAUAGUGGCGGACGGGUGAGUAACGCGUAAGAAUCUACCUUCAGGUUGGGGACAACCACUGGAAACGGUGGCUAAUACCCAAUGUGCCGAGAGGUGAAAGGCUUGCUGCCUGAAGAAGAGCUUGCGUCUGAUUAGCUAGUAGGUGAGGUAAGAGCUUACCUAGGCGACGAUCAGUAGCUGGUCUGAGAGGAUGAUCAGCCACACUGGGACUGAGACACGGCCCAGACUCCUACGGGAGGCAGCAGUGGGGAAUUUUCCGCAAUGGGCGAAAGCCUGACGGAGCAAUACCGCGUGAGGGAGGAAGGCUCUUGGGUUGUAAACCUCUUUUCUCAGGGAAGAAAAAAAUGACGGUACCUGAGGAAUAAGCAUCGGCUAACUCCGUGCCAGCAGCCGCGGUAAUACGGAGGAUGCAAGCGUUAUCCGGAAUGAUUGGGCGUA